rnacentral:rRNA from 1 species
GAAACUAACAAGGAUUCCCCUAGUAACGGCGAGCGAACGGGGAAUAGCCCAGCACCGAACCCUGCGAUGUUCAAGCGCUAGGGAAUGUGGUGUUUGGGAGGGACUCUUCUCGCGGCUUUCGGCUAGCGCUCCAAGUCCGCUUGAACGCGGCCACAGCCCACAGAGGGUGACAGGCCCGUUUGAACGUUCCGAGUCACGGGUUGGUCCCUCCUUGGAGUCGGGUUGCUUGAGAGUGCAGCCCUAAGAGGGUGGUAAACUCCAUCUAAGGCUAAAUACGACCACGAGACCGAUAGCGAACAAGACCGGGCGAAACAUGAAAAG